GACCAGACGACAGGGAACAGGAUGGCGCCGCAGCAGAUGAGGUCGACCAGGAAGAGGAUCUCCUUCCACAGCGGGUACUCGCUGGAGCCUUCCUCCGUGGACUCGAUGAUGAUGUAGGCCACGUUGGCCAGGCACUGCAGGGGAAUGACGAUCAUGAAGAUCUUCUUCUCCUUAUCAGACAGGAUGUACUUGACAAAGGCCCAGCCGGUGCCAAUCAGUGCCAGCGUGAUGAACAGCAGUGCCCCCUUGAGCCUGGGAGGGUUAGGAGAACGUUGUAAUAGGCCAACACGCACUCCGGACAGACAUUUGGAUAAAAGAGAAGUGACGUCAGGCUCACAGUGCUUUCGCUGUGUU